rnacentral:sRNA from 1 species
GCCAGGGGCAGUGGUGCAUGCCUGUAAUCCCAGCAGCUUGGGAGGCUGAGGCAGGAGGAUCACGAGUUCAAAGCCAGCCUCAGCAAUGGUGUGGAGCUAAGCAACUCAGUGAGACCCUGUCUCUA